rnacentral:rRNA from 1 species
UACGGGGGGGGCAAGCGUUGUUCGGAAUUACUGGGCGUAAAGGGCUCGUAGGCGGCCAACUAAGUCGGAUGUGAAAUCCCCAGGCUUAACCUGGGAACUGCAUCCGAUACUGGAUGGCUUGAAUCCGGGAGAGGGAUGCAGAAUUCCAGGUGUAGCGGUGAAAUGCGCAGAUAUCAGGAGGAACACCGGUGGCGAAGGCGGGUCUCUGGGCAGUAACUGACGCUGAGGAGCGAAAGCGUGGGGAGCGAACAGG